rnacentral:rRNA from 1 species
GACGAACGCUGGCGGCGUGCCUAAUACAUGCAAGUAGAACGCUGAAGCGAGGAGCUUGCUCUUCUUGGAUGAGUUGCGAACGGGUGAGUAACGCGUAGGUAACCUGCCUUGUAGCGGGGGAUAACUAUUGGAAACGAUAGCUAAUACCGCAUAACAAUGGAUGACACAUGUCAUUUAUUUGAAAGGGGCAAUUGCUCCACUACAAGAUGGACCUGCGUUGUAUUAGCUAGUAGGUGAGGUAAUGGCUCACCUAGGCGACGAUACAUAGCCGACCUGAGAGGGUGAUCGGCCACACUGGGACUGGGACACGGCCCAGACUCCUACGGGAGGCAGCAGUAGGGAAUCUUCGGCAAUGGGGGCAACCCUGACCGAGCAACGCCGCGUGAGUGAAGAAGGUUUUCGGAUCGUAAAGCUCUGUUGUAAGUCAAGAACGGGAGUGAGAGUGGAAAGUUCACACUGUGACGGUAGCUUACCAGAAAGGGACGGCUAACUACGUG